rnacentral:rRNA from 1 species
UACCUUGUUACGACUUCACCCCAGUCAUGAAUCACCGUGGUAACCGUCCUCCCGAAGGUUAGACUAGCUACUUCUGGUGCAACCCACUCCCAUGGUGUGACGGGCGGUGUGUACAAGGCCCGGGAACGUAUUCACCGCGACAUUCUGAUUCGCGAUUACUAGCGAUUCCGACUUCACGCAGUCGAGUUGCAGACUGCGAUCCGGACUACGAUCGGUUUUGUGGGAUUAGCUCCACCUCGCGGCUUGGCAACCCUCUGUACCGACCAUUGUAGCACGUGUGUAGCCCAGGCCGUAAGGGCCAUGACGACUUGACGUCAUCCCCACCUUCCUCCGGUUUGUCACCGGCAGUCUCCUUUGAGUGCCCACCAUAACGUGCUGGUAACUAAUGACAAGGGUUGCGCUCGUUACGGGACUUAACCCAACAUCUCACGACACGAGCUGACGACAGCCAUGCAGCACCUGUCUCAAUGUUCCCGAAGGCACCAAUCCAUCUCUGGAAAGUUCAUUGGAUGUCAAGGCCUGGUAAGGUUCUUCGCGUUGCUUCCAAUUAAACCACAUGCUCCACCGCUUGUGCGGGCCCCCGUCAAUUCAUUUGAGUUUAAACCUUGCGGCCGUACUCC